rnacentral:rRNA from 1 species
AUUGAACGCUGGCGGCAGGCCUAACACAUGCAAGUCGAACGAGUGGCGGACGGGUGAGUAAUGUCUGGGAAACUGCCUGAUGGAGGGGGAUAACUACUGGAAACGGUAGCUAAUACCGCAUACCAUCGGAUGUGCCCAGAUGGGAUUAGCUAGUAGGUGGGGUAAAGGCUCACCUAGGCGACGAUCCCUAGCUGGUCGCAGAGGAUGACCAGCAAUAUGGGAAGUGAGAAACGGUCCAGACUCCUACGGUAGGCAGCAGUGGGUAAGAUUGCAAAAGGGGCGCAAGCAUGAUGCAGCCAUGCCGCGUGUAUGAAGAAGGCCUUCGGGUUGUAAAGUACUGUCAGCGGGGAGGCGUUACCCGCAGAAGAAGCACCGGCUAACUCCGUGCCAGCAGCCGCGGUAAUUC